GUUGUGCUCUCUUUCAGUCAGGGCCCCUGGACUUGAACCCCCCCCCCCCAACUCUCUCAAUUUAAGGCACACCUGAAUUCAGCUAACAAUUAGCAUUGUGCUGUGCUGCCAACAAAUCAACAAUCAAAAAUAUGACUGAUAAUGAAGAAUAUAUAUAUAUUAUAUAUAUAUAUAUAUAUAUUAUAUAUAUAUAUAUAGUCAAGUAUGUUCCUUUAACAGCAAUUUGCAAUCACUGCAAGCUUGAGCCCAGGAAUAGCCAGCCUCAGUUGCCAUGCAGCCAGGCAAAACCUUGUGGUACAAAAUAUGUUAUGCCCAUCCGUGUUAUUGUAUACCAUCCUGUAGGUUUUCACUCCAGCCCUAACAAAGCACACCUCAUUCAACAGCCAGAGAUCUCGUUUAACUGCUAAUUAGUAGAAUCACGUGUGCCAAAUUAGGGUUGAAAUGAAGACCUGUAGGACAGUUACAGAAACGAGGUUGGGAAGCCCCAAUCUCAUGGUACUACCUUCUAAUGAUGUCACAAUAUGCCUUCUUAAAAACAAAAUCAUGCCAAGUGGUCAUACUAACACCUUGUAAGGUUUCUCUAAGAAACUUUCUUUUUAAAUGGUAAGGAAGCAGUUCGCUUAUGAAACUGCAAAACUGACAAAAAUUGGCAGGACAAUAUGUCAAAAGAAAAAAUUGGCCUGAUGUUGUAAGCUGUAGUUAUUCACUGUGUAACUGGGUAACAUGUCAAAUGUAGGCUAUAUUAAAUAAAUUGUGAUCCUUGUAAGGAGCACUGGACAGGCAAAUGAAUACUUCAGAGUUUAAACAUGUUCUGAACACACUGACCUUGGCUUUACCCAAGGCUCCACUGAGAAUGGUAUAUUCUGGAUUAAAGCAAGCGUUCUUAUUCAGAGUUCUCCAGGACUGUGGAACUCAUUAGGUGACCAGAGUGUGCAUUUUACACAUUGAAUAAAGAAGAAAGAUUCCUAACAAAGGUACCUAUAUUCAUACAAUAUGAGAUUGUUGCUUUAGAAGGCUAUUCCAUCUCUGUGACUACUUGAGCUCACUUGUAAGGGAACAAGAUUUAUCGCUAAACAAUCAAGAUUUACAAUCUAACAUAAAACCUCACAAGUCUCCAAUCUCCACCACGUCUUUUGUCUAUCAUUGUCCCGAGUAGUGGAAGGAGCUUACGACUGUGAUCAGGACAGCAGAGGCACUGUCCAUCUGUGCUGCAGACUGGAAACAGACCUUUAAGCUGCACUUUGGAUCACCUAUUGCUGAACAUUUUGUGUGGAUUUACUAGCCUCUAUGAUAAAUCUAAAGCUAUGACCUUAAACGCAUUUGCUUCCAAAUAAUUCUACAUUUUCGAUCCCUCUUGCACCCACUAUGGAAUCUAACUUUAUGUUGUAAGACUAAAUGUUGACUGGUACUAUCGGUUGUGAACGUUGAGGAUCUAGCAUCACACUGCCCAGUGCCUGACCCUGCAUAUAUGUGUGUCAGAUGCUCUGGAUAAUAGUGUCUGCUCAGUACCAGUAUGUAAAUAUUAAAGGUGAUGAACCUUGUCUAGAGUUCACGUCUGCGGUACACACACGCCUGUCUCACCACACCUUGAGACUCUGCUGGCGCACCUUGCUUUCCCCACAGUGACUCAGCAGGGCUGCCACAUAAUUUACAUAGUGUAUGUCAAAGGCUUUCUCUUCCUCUUAAAGGCUUUCUGAGCCUGCAAUUUCGAAAGCAGUGUUAUUGAAAUAUAUGGGCAGGCACACACUCUAAGCAGCAGCAAACUGGACUUAGCAACUCCAUUUGUUAAAAUGGCAAGUUUACUUCCAGUUUGCCAUCAAGAUGUGUUGCAGUCUAUCUUAACCUUGUUCACUUUCCCUAAAGCAGGCACAUCUAAUCACUGGCCCCGCCCAUCUUCUCUGGUAGGUGUACUGUAUAUGUUCCCAGUGGACACGGGGUGAUGGGUGUGAUGCCGGUCCAGUCAGAUGGAGGAAAGGAGAUGGGGGCACACAGCCAUAUACCUGCAACUGCAGGAGAAUCUUUCACUUAUGACUGUGAAACAAUUCUGGCUCCAGAGCCAAGUGCCGGGUGUACUUUGGCUCUUCUGCUGGCUGAUGAAAUCAUUUUGUUGAUUGCCUCUGCCAAAUUUAGAAAAAUAUAAUUCCAGUGCUUGAUAUGAGAAUGGGCUAUGAAGCACAUUGACGUGCAAUAUUAACAGAAUUAAUUAAUAUACUGAAUUAUAAUAACACUCAUUUUAUAUCAUUACAAUCAGAUGUUAUGAAUAGGGUUGUCUGUUUAGUGUUCGUGGUUCGGCGAGGUUAAAAUUAACAUAUUUGUUGCCAUCUAGUGGUGACAAUGUGCAACAAGAAGAGAACUUGUUUUAUGUAUGGAGGGAAAAAUGCUACACUGGAUGACGCAAGCACUUCAAUGUUCCACAGCACAUUCUGUUUCCAUGCCAAUGCAAAAGAAGGCAGAUGUUCCACAGAUUUGACAGUCUUUAGAUCACGUGCGGGUGUGUUGGUGUAGUGCUUUUUAUACUUUUUAUCCUUUCAUUCAUCUUGAAAAGCCAUUGCCUUCUGUCAACCAUGUCAUUGCAUGUCAUUGCUUUCCAUUUUGUUUAUAUUUGCUACAGAUGUUUCCAGAAGAACAUUAAUGCUUAAGCUAACUGGCAUAGCAUUUUAUUACUGGGAUGUUUUUUCAAUCAAUUACCUUUUGUGAGUUUUUGUAGAUAUUUUGACUUGUAUAAUUUUUGUUACUAUAAUGCAUGUCAUAUGUACGUAAUUAUUAUUAUUAUCCUUGAAAAGGAAACCGUGCAUUAAAUAAGCUUAAUUAAGGCAUCGCAUAAUUAAAACAGAAUGGGCAAAGCCAAAAGCCUGGGAUUAAGUUUACACAAACAGCUCUAUGGUGACAUUUCAGGACAUUUUCUCUGUUCUUUGUUGCUCACCUCAUUAUGGUAAAAAUUAGGAGAAAAUGGGAAAAUUAGAAAUCCGUCUUGCCUUUUAAGUCUUGUAUUUCCAGACAUGGUCUACAUAUUACAAUUAAAGUUACAGUUUUUUCAUCAAAUGAGUGUGGUUACACAGUACCCUCUACCAAAGCUCUCCUCAUUACCCGAGCACUAUAAUAGCAGCCAUGUGCUGUAAUUCACUUGGUUUUCUAUUUGCUUUAAAAAUAAAACCAUUUCCACUAAAUUAAAUAAUGCUUUCUGUGUUUUGGUUAUUGUUUUUGUAAUUCCUUCAGAAAGUUUAGUUAUUUCUAAUUUUGCUGUGUUGCAAAGUCAAAUGAAAAUAUAUUUAAAUGAGUUUUCUUAUACUCCUACUGCAUAUAAGUAACUCUCUAUCGUGUCAAAAUGAAAUACAGUAUUUAGAUAUCUUCAAAGUUAUAUGAAAAUUUUAAAUAAAAGUAAAUGGAGCCAGGUGUAUUCCAUUGCCUUGAGAGGUCACAUUUGAAUUUCAAUCUUCCCAGGAGCACCGUUAAGUCCACUGUAGCAAAAUGGGACAAAUAUUGCAUGGCUCAGAAACUGCCAAGAUAAAGCCUAACUGAGCAACUGGAAGAGAAGGACGAUUCUAAGAGAAGUGACCAAGAGGCUAGCUACAACACUGAUAGCAGCACAGCUCAUUGGCUUCAAUGGGAGAAACUGUCCAGAGGUCAAUGAGAAAGGGGGUGAAUUAUUUUGCUUCAGAAUGUGUUUGUUCAUUCUGCUAACGAAGGGUGGGGGGUAAGGGGGGUUGGAAUUAAUUACAGUUUAAAGUUGUAAUGGGACAAAA